GUUUUUCGUUUUUCUGCAUAACUACUGCAAAUUUCCUCACUAGGCCUUGAGUUUUUCAUCAGAUACACAAAAGUUACAUACAUAUCCUCUAUGCAAAGAUAACUAUAAAUAUCACAAAGUUAACCGAAUUAACUUACUAGUGAUUAAAUACUUCCGUUUGGAUGUUAAUUUGUUAAAGGAGUCAUUGGUUAGUCCAAGGAGUCUAUCUAGUGUGAUUGUGUGCAUCAAGGCUGAGGUUAGCUUGAGCAAAGCGGGAGUAUACAAAUUGUUCAUUUAUGGGUUAGCAAUUGCCUUGCAGCAACUACGGAAAUAUUUGCUUGGUGGCUAGGACGAUGCUUGACGCAGGAAAGGUGGUUCAGGGACACAUAUGGACAUUUUUGCGAUAUCCUGUCAAGAUCUCGACGUGGGCUGAUUUGAGCUGGUGCUUUCCAAAAGUAGUGGGAUGGAAUUGGCCAGGAUGGUUAGACAUAAUUGGGCUUCUUGUCCAGAUAGAAAAGCAACUCAUUUAGAUAUCAUUCCGUUGUUAUCCGUGUCAACAAAUAAUUCGAAAUACCUCGACUUUUUCAGAACAGGUCCGAGUCAAAUAGCAAUGAUUCGAAGCA